rnacentral:rRNA from 1 species
AUUGAACGCUGGCGGCAUGCCUUACACAUGCAAGUCGAACGGCAGCAUGGAGAGCUUGCUCUCUGAUGGCGAGUGGCGAACGGGUGAGUAAUGCAUCGGAACGUACCGUGUAAUGGGGGAUAACGUAGCGAAAGUUACGCUAAUACCGCAUACGACCUGAGGGUGAAAGCAGGGGAUCGCAAGACCUUGCGUUAUACGAGCGGCCGAUGUCAGAUUAGCUAGUUGGUGAGGUAAAGGCUCACCAAGGCGACGAUCUGUAGCGGGUCUGAGAGGAUGAGCAGCGACACUGGGACUGAGACAAGGUCCAGGCUCCUACGGGAGGCAGCAGUGGGGAAUUUUGGACAAUGGGGGCAACCCUGAUCCAGCCAUGCAGCGUGAGUGAAGAAGGCCUUCGGGUUGUAAAGCUCUUUCGGCCGGGAAGAAAUCGCACAGGCUAAUACUCUGUGUGGAUGACGGUACCGGCAUAAGAAGCACCGGCUAACUACGUGCCAGCCGCCGCGGUAA